rfam:Auxenochlorella protothecoides strain 0710 unplaced genomic scaffold scaffold75, whole genome shotgun sequence.
GUCGAUGUAGUAUAACGGUCAGUAUACGUGCCUGUCAAAUGGUGCUGAGUGCCAGUCCUUUCUGGACGCACGUGAUCCGGGUUCGAUUCCCGGCAUCGGCG